UUUCUGCUGGUCAACAUAAUUAGAUGCUCACAGUGACUGUCAUUCCCAUUGAAGUGCUGGAAACCUGUUCUUAUGCUAUAAAGAAAAAGUAUCUGGAUGUUAUGAAUAAAACUUUAUGACACAAACGCUUCAUAUUCUUAUUCGAUCCAGCACUCGCCAGUCAUCCCACCUCUCGUGAUUCUAGAUAAAUUUAAAAAUCACAAGUAAUGGCUUUAAUGAGCCUGAAAGGGGCAGUUUCCCAGAUUCUUGUGCUUUUGGGAAUGAAUAAAUAUAGGUUUAUUUGUAAGUUGCUCCGUUUCCCAGCUUUCCCACCAUUUGCUAAUCACUAUCCUUUCCCCGCUUUCCACCCACCCUUUUUCUCUCAAUUCUUUAGAAGAUUAGCAAUAUUUGCUCAAAAUAACCGACACCAAUAUUGGGCCUUGGCCUCCGUCCUUUUUUUUUUCUCAUUUUUCUUCACAAGAUAAAUUAUAUCUUGACACAACCAUUUCUUGAGUGAGGACUCCCUAACACCCUUCUUAUGGUAGUUUUGGGAUCAAGUUCCCAUCUGACAUAAAGCCAAUUGUGUAUUACUCCCGGCCAUUAGUGUUUGACUAGCGAUAGUGCUGGGCAAGUGAAGUAGCUAUUUUUCUUUAUAGCUAAAAGAGCUUUGCGUCUGAUAACAUUCUUCUACACGUCAUCUACCUUUUGUGAUUUUUUUUUCUUAUGUGUAUCAUACGUACAAAACUUAGAUUGUCGAGUUUGUUUCUGUUUUCACAUCCUACAUCAAACCCAUCAGCCUUGUGUGGUAGUUGCUAGAUCACUUGGCUUGGCGUUUCUAAUGCUUAUGAUUUGGGGCUAGAUUUUUUAAUCAUUUCAAGAUAAUCUAUAACUGAUCAUGCUUUUCCAGGUACACAACAAUUGUGCACUUCUAAAUGCUUAUUAUGUCAAGUAACAAGGCAAUCUGUUGGCAUGCAAUGCGAUCACUUUUGCACCUGUUGCUGUAGAAUUUGGCCUUAAAAGGAAAAUGAUAGUUGCUCAUAUGCUUUCUGCUGAGACAUUGCUCUAUGUUAUGCAGUACCUACCAAGGUUCCGGCCAGAGAACUUGGCUCACAACACAAAGUUAUUCGACCGAGUGAAUGAAAUUGCACAAAGAAAGGGAUGCACCCCGUCGCAGUUAGCCCUCGCCUGGGUACACCACCAGGGUGAUGAUGUUUGCCCAAUUCCUGGCACGACCAAGAUUGAGAAUUUCAACCAGAACAUCGGAGCUCUAUCAGUGAAGCUUACACCGGAAGAGAUGGCGGAGCUCGAAUCGAUUGCUUCUGCAGACAAUGUCAAGGGUGGCAGGUACGAUGGAAACCUCUCUACAUGGGAAAACUCCGACACUCCACCCCUUUCUUCUUGGAAACCUGCCUAGAAACAUGUCUACUUCUUUUGCUGCGUCUUUGAUAUGCAGAGUUUGUGCAUUUGCCGCUGAAGUAAUUUGAGGCUAUGUUGUGUGGCUUUUAUAAGUAUGUGUAAUAAGAGUGACUGUUUUCGUUUUGUACAACAUGUGACAUUCACUAUGAGAAGAUUAUGGAUAUGUACUAAGCUUACUGGGGAAAGAUCACUCGAUAAACACAAGAGCGAGUUGAAUAUGAACUGAGCCUGCCAUGCCGACUUUAUCGGGGUGACUUUUAGAAUCUGAGAAAUCGGGAUUUUGAAGAAUUCAAACUCAGUCGUACAUACUAAGUGACGCUUUAUUCUCCUCCAACCAUGAGUUCAAUACUAACACCGUGUGCAACAUACUCUUAAGACUGGAUGCUACACAUAGAUACAAUGCUUCGCUUUGUGUUUGGUUUGGUAGCGAAGUAAAGGAACAGUAAAAUGUUACCGGAUGUUCUCGCAAAAACAAAGUUUGGGAUAAAAUGCUGGCGUAGUUGAUAUGAGUGUCGGGGAAAUCAAAGGUUUCUUGUUCAAGUUUCACCACCUACGGUGCAUGAGCUUUUAUGUAGCUCGAUACCUUUGCUCAUGCCUCUGCAUUAUUAUAAAACAGUCGGAGAUAUUGCGCAAGUUUCCUAAAAUUAAAAACGACACUUCUAUUGUUUUUUAUUUGGAAUUAGAGUGGAGCAAUGUUGUUUUGUUUUGGUUUAGGAAAAUAACGCAAAUAGUCAUUAAACUUUGGUCCAAUGUGUUAUGUUCUUACUGAACUUUUAAUUUAUUUAGUAUGGUUGUCGAACUUUUUGUACAUGUUUAAUUUAGAUCCUAGGCUAGAUAAAUCUAAUGACGCUGUGUUUGGUCGUUCGAACAUCUUUGCUAUAUGGGAUAAUGAUAGGAUAAAAAUCCCAUCUAAUAUUUCUUGACGUCCGGAUAUAACAUGAUUCAAAUAAAACAAAUUUAAAUGAGUGUUUGAUUUGUAUAAUUAAAAUUAAAAGUAAACCAUGGAAGUCGUGAAUAGUAUUCAUCCUUUCACAAUCUUCAUCGAUAUUAAACACCCCCGUUCCAUGUGACUUCAAGGACGCUCUCCUUCUGCAACGCCCCUUUCGCUGCCCUUGAUCAACUUGAUGGAUUACGCUCGCUCUACCUUUGACUUCGCCACAUUGAGAGGCCCUUGGGUUUGAGUUCUCCGCUGGUCUAGCCAUCUUUACUUUCAACGCCUUUUCCUGCGAUGAAUCCAUCCCCUUCGAUGAGUGUGAAUACUGCGUUGAUUCCCUGUUACCGUGUCCCGACUUGUUCAGUCACUUCAACAGCUUCCCCGAGACAGCGUGCGGAUCCGGUUUAUGAGUGGUAGCAGCAUCGGUACAACUCGCUCCAAGUGACGUGGUUGAGGAGCUCUAUCACCUUGGCUGCUGCCUCUUUCGGAUCAUCUUCUUCACAGAGGAGGUGUCCAGCUUUGAUCGGGAUCACAAAGUUCCCAACUAAAAUGGAGUUAAGUGACAUAAGAAAGAGGCAGGGCUGACGAGCUCCGGCGCCACUUUUCCGAGGCAGCCAAAGGUGGUAAGCAGCUUGUCACUGGUAGGAGGAACGGUGGCCCUUAGAGUUUGCUCAGGUCGUUGUGGCGAGGGCUUCUCUAGGUAUCUUCGUGAUACUCAUGCUUUAAGUUUGUGGUGGUCAUUUUAGCGAGAAAAAUCGGAACGAGAGAGAGAUGAUGGUGGCACUGGUAAAAAAUGAGGAUAAGCCAUCAACAAGCGCAGGAGUGGGGGAAAAACUUGUAUCCCUUAUUUUUUCAAUUUUCCAAAUUUCACAUAUCCUAUCUAGAUCUAUAUCACUUUUUAGAUGGGAUUUUUUAUCCAGACUAUAUCUAAAUUUCACUAACAUCGGGACCCCUAGAGUGCCAAAAGUUUGCACAAAAAGACAAUUAAGUGUCAAAAGUUAUGAAAAUGACACUUAAGUGCUAAAAUUGGAAUAAAAUAGAUCACUUAAGUGCAAAUCUGGUCAAAAUAUUGACAUGACAAUUUUCCAGCAAAACAAGUGCAAAACGGUGUCGUUUUGGUGCUGACAUGGAAAAAAUUAAUACAAAAAUUAAUUAAAUGAAAUUUAAAAUUAAAUUUAAUUAAAACAUUUAAAAAUAAAAAUACAAAAAUUUUAAAAAAGGAGAGAGGCGGUUGAGGGCUGAGCCCUUGUCGCUAGGAAGGGUCGGAGAUGGAGGGGGGAGGGUUAGCCGGGGUUGCCGGGCCCUAGGCCAGGGGCCGGCGACCUCGGCCAACUGGUGGCAAGGGCCCGCGAGCCCUCGCCUAGUUUUGGGGCGAGGGUUGCGGCCCUCACCUAGUUGAGCCAAGGGCCGCCGAUCCUCGCAGAAUCUGGGUGAGGGCUGCAACCCUUACUAGAUUUGGGCAAGGGCUCGUGAGCCCUCGCUGCCGGUUAGUUGGGGUCGCUGGCCCCUAGCUAGGGCUCAGCGACCAUGGUUGACCCUCCCCCCUCCGUCGUUGACCCUUCACGGUGACGACAGCGAUGGCUCAACCCUUAGCUACCUCCCCUCCCCCCCUCUUUGUCUCUCUGUCUCUGUCUCUCUCUGUCUAUAUAUAUAAAUAUUUAUGAUUUUUUAAUACUUGUAUUUGUAUUUUUAAAUGUUUUAAAUAAAUUUAAUUUUACAUUUAAUUUAAUUUACAUUAUUUUUUUACCAUAUUAACACCAAAACGACGUCAUUUUUGCAUUGUCUAGCUACGACAGUGUGCAAAAUGAUGCCGUUUUGCACUUACUUCGCCAGAAAUUGCGUACAUCAGAGCCAUGAUUUCGUUUGUAAUAAUAUCCGUUCCAUAUGCUUAAUAGGUGAAUCCAAUGCUGAGAAGGUUUCUUCACAUCAUGACAGAUCUAGAAAUACUAGAAGCAUCUGUUUCUCUUACUGCAUCUCCAUCUUUUUCAACCCCUUCAGAUUUUCAUGUUUUAAAUGCUUCUAAGAUAUACUAUCUCUAUGAAAUCUCUCUUAGCGAUGAAACCAAAAUCUCUGAAACUUAACUUUCCCUGAUGAACUCAUAUUUUGCUUUUGCUAAACCCACCUCAUCCUUUUCUCCCAUUCGUUCCAUUCGCCAACUUAUUCGCCAAACUCCAAAGGAAGUAAAUGAGUACGUUAAGUCCUUCAAGUUCGACCAACAUCCCAUUCUCGCCAUUGAAAAUGAGUACUUUGUUACUCUCUAGAUUCCUCCAGAGUUUCCUAGGCAAUAGAUUCAAAAAGGAUAGUCUCAUGUCCAUUAUGGAGUUGUUCGUCUUGCUCUUACUUUUUAUGGCCGCAAGGGCUUGCCAGUUGUGGCAAGAAUAGCAUUACUGGAUACUAGAUUUCUAAAGUACUAGUAUACUUGUAUCAGUACUAUCCAAACCACUUUAAAUGUUGGAAUAGUUUUUGUGACUUUGUAUCCAAAUUUCAAUUUGCUCUUUCAAAUCCACAGUUACUUUCCUUUUUGAAAGUCUAAGUUUAGCUCACUGGAGCACCUCAGACAGCUGAUUCUGUUGUUGCAACACUACACUACUAGAUCGUUUAUUAAGUGCAGAACCAUGCUCUUGACUUGAAUUUCCACAAUGAAAAUGAAGAUGCUUUAUUCAUCUCCAUGCAAAAUGAUCAUGCAUCCUGCAUUCAUGUUCCCAGACAUAUCCCAAAGGAAAAGUUGCCAAGCUUCUUCUAGAGACUUGGAUCACUAACUAUGAAAAGUUACAUCAGAAUAACAAACCUUUCUAGUCUUCAGACUUUGAAUUUGUCAGAAAGAAAGAUGGAACUGUUUCCAUCAAAUUUGGCAAGGAAAAUAAAGAAAUUCUUUUUAUCUUCCAAAUCCUCUUUAUGAUCGAACCAUGUGUUCCGAGCUAGAUAAAAAAAAAAGAAGCUUGUUUAAUACUUCAAAAGUGAUUAACAUCAUGUCCAUUACUACAAAGACUAGUAUGGUCACUGUUUCUAAGAUCCUUUUUGUCAAUGUUCUUUUUGCACAAACUCUCCCGACGAGGUAGACCCAUAUGCAAGACCUCGACGGAAGCAUAAGAAGCCAAAAGAUCCUAUGUACCAAAGGUACUUGAAUGGAGAUCCCUCCGUUGAUACUCUUGGUGAGUGUGAUAAAUUCUAGUUUAUGGUUUCCUAUACACCAACUCCACCACCAGAGUUCAUUACUCCACUAAUAUCACCAAGUUCAUCACCAUCACCUCCUCCAUCUCCUCCAAAAAAAAAAGAAAACCAACUCUUUCCCCAUUUUAUAAGCCAAUCUUAAAGUGGGCGAAUAAAUAUUCCUACCCACUUGAGGCUCUAGCAGAACACCACCAAGUUCUUUCAUAGCCAUGUUCCAUGAGACAUACUUUCCUCUUUUUAUUCGAGAAAGUUAUAAUCUCGUUUCCUGCUCCAAAAGAAUUCAUUGAUCUACAAGGCAGAUAUCGGCAUGCCCCUAAGAUACCUACCCCCACUGAUGUGGAUGGACAUGGAAGAUAGAAAAGGACUCCUGUUGUUGAAGCUGUCCUAAAUUGGCAAUCGGAAACUCUUUUAGCAUAUAACAAUGCGUUCAAAGCAAUUGAUUCCAAGAUUGUAAAUGUGCAACAAGAUUUUCGAAAUAUGAUGAAACCACCAAGAAGAUGCUUUCAGAUUUCCAAAAGAGGCUUCAUGCCUUGGAAUCUAGAUAACAUUUAGGGUGUCAUCAUCUCGAAAGUCCUAAGGUGGAAAUAGAGAAGCUCAAAAGGCAAAUUCAACUCCUUGAAGAAGGAAGAUUCAAUCCAUUUCCGACUACUUUGCGGACAGAGCAUCCCCCUCUUCCACUAGCCCAUAACACAUCUAUCUUUGUUGCUAUCACAGAUGUUCUUGUUAGGCAAGAUAAGACAAAUGUGGCUGAAAUGCGAAAUCUUCUCAAAGAACUGGACUGAAUAAGAAAAGAAAAGGGAAAAGAGAAGAUGCCUAAAGAAUCCUUGCUUGUCAUAAGGAAAAAGCCAGAUCAAUUGAUGCUGUCGAAUCUAUUAGAAUCUUUCCGAAGAGAUUUGGGUAAUCAGGAAUCACAGUCUGAUCUUGUUACUCAACAUCUUGAUCCCGUCAUUCCAACAGAUCAGAUUCUAUUUUCAGCAGAACUAGCUUUUCCAAAUAUCUUUGAUACUGAAUUAAAUUCGGUAUCCCUCUUGUCCUCCUCAUCCUUCUCAAUCCCUACCAUUGAUUCCUUCCCUAUUGUACUAGUAAUUUCAUCAAUAUUCAUGAUCGAUCAUCCGGACCAAGAUAUGGAAUCAAACCAUUCUGAACCAAAGGUUGUUUAGCCAAACAAUCCCUCCCAGCACGUGUAUUUUGCAUCAAAAUAGUUUAUUUAUUUAUUUAUUUAUCGUUGAUGACAUUCCCUAUCACAAAUGGCCAUAAAGACUUGAAGAAUUUCAUACUUGGUUAAAUACCCAAACCCUUACCAACCAGGAUAAGUAUGAUGUCAUUUUUGAUUUUGUCACAAGGUUUACAGGUAGCCUCAAAUAUUGGUGGCAAUCUGUGUUAGAACAAGACCGGCUUCAAUUUUUACUCUCACUUGAUUUUGGUCAUGCCAUUAUCCUUCUAUAUCAUUUCUUUGUGGGAAAACCUUUUGACCUCCAAGAGCUUAAAAGGAGAGAAUUUUUCGAAAGAAGAUGCUGCUUCUUCCAGAAAAAAACAUCUUGAUAAAUAUUAUCGAGAAAUGUUUAAGCUCUUCUAUGGUAUUGGAGCUGAUCCAAACCAGAAACGCAUCUUCUUGACUUCCAUCCCCAAAGAAUUGUCUCAAUAGGUGGAGAGAACUUUUCUCAGCAAACAAAGAAGGAUUCAGGAUAUUCCGUUAGGAGAAAUCUAACAAGAAAUUCAUUUGUGCCUUGAAGAAUUGUGUAUCAAAUGCCAAAUGAUCCAGACUUAUGUCGACAAUAACAGAGAACUUGAUAUAGCAUGUUCUCGCCAUAAGCUAAAGAUCAAAUGUUCAAAGCGAGAUUGUGAUGGUUCUUGCGGAAAAUUUUCCAGAAAAAAGCACUUCAAGAAGCUCUGGAUAAUGAAAUCUAGGCGUGGCUCUAAGCAUUUUUGAAGAAAGAAGAAAUGGCGACACCUAUGCAAAAGGAAAGAUCACUCAGGCCACAAGAAGUCAAAUCAAUGCUUCAUCUGCAAUUAGAAAAGACAUUUUGCCAAAAAUUAUCCCCAAGCGAGAAAAUGUCAAAAUCAUAUGAUAUAUCAUAUAGAGAAUGAAACAGGUAAUUCUCUUGAAAAUGAUAAUAUCGAAUCUUUAUUAUCUGAGAAUGAAGAACCAUCUGAAUAAACUCUUUGUGUCAUUCCUUGUUACGAAACUUCUAGUGAAAUUGAUUCGGAUUCAAAUCCUGAAGAUAUUUUUCACAUAUCUCUCACUUCUUCAGAAUAAAGCACUAACAUAUUUUCAAGCUAAAUUCAUUGUCCCCAUUUCCCUGUGAAAAUCUUCACUUCAAAGUUUGCCAAGCCUUUCAUUGUCAUUGCUCUCAUAGAUACUGGAGCAAGUUCUUCAAUCUUGGACACCAAAGUUAUUCUUGAAGAAUAUUGGACUUCCUAUGUUUGAUACUUCAAUUCUACCUCAGGAGAUACUUUUUCUACGAAUGUAAGAACUACCCUAGUAAUCAUCUAAUUUUUUCCACAGUGUUCCAUAACCAUAAAAAUCUCUGGUUCCAGUCUUCCCCACAAGGAUUUGAUCAUUGGCUGGGAUAUCAUGACUAAAAUUUCUCAACUUCGUAUCAUUUCUAGAAAAUGUCUUAAGUAUAAGGACUAAUUUUCUAAAUUCGUCAAUAUCCAAAGACUUUUUUUCCAUCCAAAUGAGCCUGCUAGACCCCAUCAUGCAAAAGUUGUUAAAAUCAUGUUUGGAAUUUCAUUUUGAAUUUGCUCAAAAAUGUUCUCACCCUCUAUGGGAAAAUUUAGAGUUCUUUGUUUGCCUUCCUUUUUUAAAAAAAAAUGAGGAUAUCAAUCUAAACAAGGCGAGUUACAUGGGAAUGAAGUCAGAACACUUGGUUUUAACUCAAAGGGAAUGUUCGGAACUAUUGCAGCAAUGCCUUAUUGAAAUCUCCAAUUCUCAAUGGGCCUGUGAAGCUUUUUUAUGUCAAUAAGCGUGCCGAACAAAAUAGAGGAAAUAUGAGAAUGGUAAUUAACCAUCAGCCUCUUAACAUUUUUUUCCAAGAUGAUAAAUUCCCUUUACUCUCCAGAAAUUCCCUAUUUACUAGAUUAUCCAAAGCCCAUAUUUACUCUAAAUUCAAUCUCAAAGCCAGAUUUUGGCAAUUGUGCAUCCAUCCUAAAUACAGACCCAAGAUAGGGUUCUGUAUCAUGAACCAACAUUUCCAAAUGGAAAGUUAUUCAUUUUGGUCUAAAGGUGGUACUAUCCUUAUUCCAAAAGGUCAUGUGUCGAAUUUUCCAACUAAUUUUGUCAAGUGCAGUAAUAUACAUUGACGAUAUCGUGCUUUACAAUCUUAAUGAGCAGUCACACUGCCAACUUCUUAAACAGUUUGUAGAAAUUGUGUAAAAGCAUGGGAUCAUGCUUUCUCAAAAAAAGAUGAACAUUGUCCAUAUAUAAAUUGAAUUUCUUGGUAUGACCUUAACAAAGGUAUGUAUUAUCCAUGGCCAUAUAUUGCUCAUGAAUUGUUGAAAUUUCCUGAGGAAAAUUUCACAACAAAGCAAGUUCAGCAAUUUCUUGGAAUAAUUAAUUAUCUCAAAGAUUUCGUUCCAAACAUUGCAGAACUGUUGAUUCCAUUGAAAUUGAUGCUGAAAAAGAAUCCCCCACCUUGGAGAAAAUCUCAGACUAAAGCAGUCGUCGAACUUAAGGAGAUUAUGUAGACUCUUCCUCUGUUACAAAUCCCAUCGAUAAGGAAGAUAAUUCUCUAGAUCGGCGCCAGUGAUGAAUACUGGACAGCCAUCUUGUUUGAAGAAAUUGAUGGUAAGAGACAUCUGUGUACCUAGAAAAGUGGAAAAUUUUCCCAAGCUGAAAUGCAUUAUCAUUCCACUUUCAAAGAAAUCUUGGUGAUGAAAAAUGGAAUAAAAAAGUUCGAAUUCCAUCUCAUUGGCCAUCACUUCAUGGUAAAAUUGGAUAUCCUCAGAUGAUCAAGUUCAAACAGAAGCAGAUUUCGAAUUUUCAACUGCUUCAAUGGGCUGAAUGAUUUUCAAAAUACUCUUUUGAAACCAAACAUAUUGCCGGAAAAAAAAAUGUGCUUGCUGACUUCUUGUCAAGACCAAAAGCACCAGUAAAAAUCAACAUGUACAUCAUGAGGCAUGCUUUUCAUAUUCUUCAUAACAAUGAAAAGUAUAAGAUUGAAAGAAUACAAGACUAGUCAAGCUGGCAAUAUUACUAGGAGAUUGUGGAACAAAUCUAGAAUGACUGCCUUAUUGAAAAUUUGGAUAAUCUCAUGUGGCAAUUCCACACAGAUCUGUUUAGAUUUAAUGGGGGUUCGAUUCUUUAUCUUUUUAGAUUAAAUUCAGACUAUCCGUUCAUACAUCCUUUAAUCUGGAAGGAAGAUAAUUUCCCUGACCAACUUCGAUGGUUAUUAUGGUACUUAACCAAUAAGUACUGAAUAGUAUUGAAAUUCCAACUAGAAGAUUUAUUACCAACCUCACUAGGAUAUUUAGACUUGGCAGAUGAAACAUUGAAAAAGAGAGUGACAGAAAUCUCAUAGGUUUCCUUAAUUGGUUUUAUCCCUCUACUCACUGGAAAUACCUCUUGCAGAAAGAGCUGAGAACCACACAACUAAACCCUGAGGUCCAUAUUAUUUUGUUUUUUCGACGACCGUGGGCUUUUGUCACAAAUAAUGGUAGCAGUAGCAAUGCCCCCCAAAUUAUAGGUACCACAUCCUAUAAACCUCAACCACAUAGUGUAGAAGCUCAGAUUUACAAAUCUUAUUUAGAACCCGUUGGUUGCUACGAGCACCAGUAUCGAGAACUCCAAAGGAUUUUGUACUAGGAAAAUAAAAUCAUUCCUAAAGAUGCAUGGAACUAUAAUGUACCCACUGUAUGAGAUUAUUAUAGUCUCACACUAGAAGUUAAGGAAGCACUCGAAAUAUUCAGACAAGUUACAUCAUCACAGGAGCAUGAAAUGGCAGACACAGAUGACAUCGCACAGUCCUCUCAAGAUCCCUAUGUCAAAUGGGGAGGUCCUCUUUCUCAAGAUCCCUAUGACCAAGAAACUUUGUCCUUAUCUCAAAGCAUUGACACAUCCUACUAUACUCAGUCAUCCAAUUGGUCUCAGCUAAGCAUUCUUGCCAACACUACAGGCUCCUCUUAGAAUCAAGCGAAAGCAUCCUCGUCAAAUCAAAUUCUCUCACCAGAUUCACUUGUAGGACUUGAGAAAAAAAUAUGAAGAAUAGCUUAUGUCAAUGUAUAGUUCGGACGACUCAGACUAUGACUAUAAUGCUCGUGAUGGACGAGACUAUUGACCGUACAAGUCACUGUAGCAAGUCACUUUUCACUUUCAUUGUAGCAGUAGACUAGGGAAAUAACUGUUCAUUAUCAAUGUUCAUAUCGUGCGAAUAAUCUCCUAUGCCUUUAUUUGUUUCAAGAUUGUGAGAAUGAUCCUUGUUUAUGUGUGACCUCUUAUUGCCUAUAAAAGACAAGAAUGAUGUAAUGUGUUGGGCAGAGUCCCUUGAAGUAAAGUGAGUAUUUUGUGUAAAACUCUCUAUGGCUUUAUAAACUUAUCUUCUUCUCCAGUCUGGUAGGAUCAUUUGAGAAAUGUAGUUCGGAUAGUUAGAAAUGUUACCAUCCUGGUUCUAUAUGAGUGUUUCUAGACUCUGAACUAAAGGGAAGAGUGGUUUUAUGUUAAAAGGCUGUCUCUGAAGGGCUUGAACGGAAGAGGUUCACCUACUGUGGGGUAUGCCAACUUUUGGCACUUGAAAUAAUCUUUUGCCGAAUUUCACGUUACUCUAAACACCGGAUAUGAUCAAACUUUUACUAUCAAAGUUUUAUCUAGCCCAUCAAAGGCAGUCUUAUGAGAUAGGAUGCAAUGAUAUAAUCUAUGAAUUAGAUCAAACAUUUAUUAAAAGUUUAAGAACGAUAUUUCAUUUUUUGAAUGUUAGGAUGCACGAGUAAGUUAUGUUAAAACAAUCCCACAAUAUAUUGAUAGCUUUGAAAUAAGGCUUUCUCUUGGUGAUGACGAAGAUCCAUAUGGAGAAAUUAAUGGGAGGGUUUGUUUGGCCUAACUAAAUGAGAGGCUAUAUCAGUGGGAGGUUUUUCAUUGUAACCUUGUGCUUGGUAUUUGUAUUUUAGUAAAGGAUUUUGUUAGCAUAAUAGUUUCUGAGUUAUUGUGAGAAUAACAACUUAUUAUGAGUUACAAAAUUUUCUCUUUCUUUUUUUCUUCACUUCCUUCUCCUUCCUCCAACCAAUCAUCACUAGUGAUUGGCAAGAGGCAAGGUUGGUGAGGUACCUCGCUGGUCUCGAGGAAGCUUGACCAUGGUUAGGCAACCUUGCUCAUGGCUAGGCGACCUCGCCUAGGCCGCCAACUGGGCUGGUGAGGGUUGACCCUCGACGGCCAUGGGUGAGGACAAAUGCCGCUAGUUGGGCUUGCGAGGCUCGCCCUUAUUGAAUUUGGCGAGAGUUGAGUCUCAUUGGCCAUGGGUAAGGUCAAAGGCCGUGACCUCACGUGGUCUUUGGUGAGGCUUGCCAAAGGUUGGGCAAGGCUCACCGUCGUUGGACUGAUGAGGGUCGAGUCUCGUCGGCCAUGGGUGAGAUUGCAACUUGCCCAUGGCCGGCGAGGUGAGCCUAGGCCAAAGGCAGGCGAGACCUUGCCUAACCAUGGCGAGGGUGGCCUCACCAUUGUUGGGUGAGGCUCACCCUUGCUAGUGGUGUGUGGGGGUAAGCCUUGCCAUUGGUUGGCGAGGCUAACCUUGCUGGCUUGAGUAAAAUAAAAUAUUAUUAAAAGAUUAUCUACAUCAAUAUUAGUUGGACGAGCGGUGUUGGUCGGCCAAAAUUUCUGAAUGAAUUGAAUAGUAUAAUUGCAAAAUGUUUGGGAUUGAAUUGGCUAAAAAAAAAGGUCUAAGUUUGAAUUGGAAAAAUUACAAUAAGUUUAUGAUUGUUUUGGUACGUCCUCCCUAUAUGGGAAGGAUCGUGACUAUGCUUCAAUUGAUGUAAGCAAGUGCAUCUUCACAGCCACUACCGCUCCCCUCCUACUCUUUGUAGCUUAUGCUACUCCCCUCUUAUAAAUCUCGGCUCGCCUGACGCCUUCGCCAUUGUGUAGGGAACGAGCGAGCUCGAGCUAGACCACAGUAAUGGCGGCAUCGACAAUGACGAUAAGGAGGAUCAAGUUGGGGUUGCAGGGCCUGCAGGUGUCGGUGCAAGGGCUGGGCUGCAUGGGCAUGUCCGCCUUUUACGGGCCACCCAAGUCGGAGCCCGACAUGAUCGCCCUCAUCCACCAUGUCGUCGGCUCUGGCGUCACCUUCCUUGACACCUCCGACAGCUACGACCCCCACACCAAUGAAAUCCUCCUUGGAAAGAUCGGUUCUCUCAGUCUCUGUUUUGCCUUCGCAUGAACUAUAUGUGCUUAUAAUGUUACGGAAUGUAGCUUCAUCGAGCAGAGUGCUUUGAUCCUGCGCCUUGGUUUUCUGAUUUCGGGGUUGAUUUUGAGCAGGCACUAACGGGAGGGGUGAGGCAAAAGGUGGAAUUGGCGACCAAGUUCGGAAUCAGCUUCGCGGAUGAGAAGAAAGAGGUCCAGGGCGAUCCGGCAUACGUGAGGGCGGCUUGCAAUGCCAGCUUGAAGCGACUUGACAUCGAUUGCAUCAACCUCUACUACCAGCACCGUAUCGACACUCGCGUCCCCAUUGAAGUCACUAUAUGGAUCCCUUAUCAAACUUUCACCUCGCUUGAGACUUUCUCCGAGCCAUAUGAUUAGUUGCUAAAUUAGAUUGGUGUUGAUGAUGCAUCGUCAUGUUGUUACAAGUUUGUUGAAUUUUGUUAAAUGACACUUAAGUUCAGCUGAUAGCAAAGCUCAAGAUGCGGCACGGUGUUGUUCAGGGGUUGUGGAAUUUAGUAGUUUAAUGGCUUGAGUUUUCGUUUUGUGGGCAUCCUUUACAAGUUAAGGGUCAACAAGCAUGAAAAUCAUUCGAAAUCUUCCUUACCUUUGAGAUGAAAGUGCUCCGGGGUUCAUCCUGAUUUUUUUUUUUUUUGGUGGUGAAAGUAAGUAAUUGUAUUAAGCUUUGCCAACUAUACAAGAUGAAAUCUUGGCACCAAAACUUGCACUCAGAAUGACAUGACGUCAAUGCGAGUGGAAGGAUGCUGAGAUGAAAAAUAGCAAGCAAUAAACGGUGUUGACACCUAAAUUUUGGCGAUCCGAUUAUUUAUUUAUUACAUAAAAAUUAUGGGUCAAUUUGUCUCUUAAAAAAUAUUAAUUACAUAUAGAUUUAGGUGCAUUUAUUUUUAAUUUAAUUUUUUUGUAUUUUAUUGGAUCGAUGGUGGAUGGAUUCAAAUUAAUGGUUAUGAAUUUUAAAUUGACAAAUCGAACUAAGUUCACGAAUAUAAGAAAUUGGCGCAAGCCCGUAUUUGAAAAAAUUCUAUUGUAAUUUUUGAAAAAUCAAUAGAAAACAUUCAUUUUUGCAAAGGAAAUCAAGAAGAGCUGUGGAAAAUAAAAAGUGAUAUUACGUGCGGAAAAGAAAUCUUUGCAGAUGUUGAUUUAAAAAGGAAAUUAAAAUCCUAAUUUUUGGUCUAUAAAAAAGUAACUUAGUAUAGGGUUUUGGGGAGGCUACACAUGGAAUACACAGCCAGUGGAGGGCGAAAUUCGAAAAAAUUUGGAGAGCAAACGCGAGGGGGCUUUUUCCUUCGGUUGAUUGGAGUUGAGAAUUCAAGAAAAAAGAAGAAGAAAGAAUUCGUUUGUUUGUGAAAAAAGGCAGCAAAAGUGUGCAGAAAAAAAGGAAGAGACAGAGACGGGACAGGGAAGAGUGAUGUGAGAGAGAGACGUGGAGUAGAAUAAAAAAGAAAAAAGAAAGUAAAAACAGGGAAGACUGUUCAUCCUCGCAAGCGCCUCAACCGCUGUCGCCGAUCCCUUUCGCCCGCACCGGCCCGCGACCUGCAGCCGCCGCGCUCCGUCGCCGCCUCACCCGAGCCGCCGACCACCACCGCUCGCUGCUCACACUACCGCUGUCCCGAUCUGCCCGCUCGAGCGUCCCUACGCCGGCAGAUCUGAGCUGCUCGCCACUCCACCGCCGCGCGAGUUCCCGCACCGGUCCGCGCCUCCUCUGCUGCUCGUGCCGUGCCACCACCAGGGUUCCUCUCGCUCGCGAGCUCGCACCGCCGCCCCGCUGUGCUGAUCCGCGACGACCCGACGCUCCGCUGCUGCUGCUGCUGCACCUUCGCAGGUCACCCCACCAGCACCACCGUUCGUCGCCCUGGCUGUAGGCGCGACGACUCGACACCGCCUCUGCUCAGUCACUCCUUCACCCGCUCCUGCUGCAGCACCAGUCGCUGCAACCUCCGCCGUCGCUCUUGCAUCCGACCCGACGCCAGCAGCAACGAUCCAGAUCCGGCGCCUGCUGCAGCCACAGCCCGACGCCGCUCCUCUGCCCGCGACCCAAGACCGGACGCCCAGGUCCGACGCCCUGCAGCUCCCUCUCUGAGUGACUCCCGCGACUUCCCUCACCGGAGCAACCCACCACGUUGCUGCUUCGCUUGAAAAAAAGAAAAAGAAAAAGAAAACAAAAAAAGAAAAAUCAAUUUAGGUAAUUUUUCCUUUUAUUUAUCUAUCUUAUUUUAUUAUUUUUGUUAUUUAACUUUAUUUGUUCUUUUUCAGUAUAAUUAUUCCUUAGUGUAAGGAUGAGAUGUUCGACAUGAAAUAGCCUGUGAAAUUUGUGAUUGUCAGUCCGAUUUUCACGCCUAAAAUCCGACUUGCAAUCACUUAAAAAAAAUCGCUAAUCCGAUCUUCCGCCUAAGAUUCAAUUCGCGAUUUAUGUGAAAUUGACCAACUCGAUUUCAUGCGCGAGAUAUAAUUCGUCAAUUUGGAUAUCAUCUUGCUCCGAUUUGUUGUCGUGUCAUUUAAUUAAAUUUGCUUUCAUAAAAAAAAAAUGUAGGUUAGAAUUAGGUUUAUUCCCUAUUUUAGGGUUUACAUAUUUAAAAUAUGAAUUUUAUUUCGAAUUUUUUUUUAAAAAAUAAUAAUAAAUUAAAAAAUCAAAAAUCAAAUCAAUUAAUUUAGGUUGCUAGUUUUUUUUUUUUUUUUUUAAAACUUGGAUUGCAUGUUUAAUUGUUUGGCAAUUAUUAAUUUCGAAAUUAAUAAAACAAAAACGCAACAAAAAAUCAUCAUGCAUAUGUCAUAUAGAAUUAGGGCAUCUUUUGUAUGUCAUUGCAUAUUAGGGUAAAAUUGCUAAUAUUUUUCUUAAUUUAUUAUAAGUUUAGGUAUUUUCUUAGAUAGAUUGCAUUUUAGGAUUGCUUGGGUUAGGAUAAUAUUCUAAUUUAAAUUAGGAUUUGGCUUAACCUAAUUCCUAAUACAAAUUGAAUAGAAUCUUAAUCUAGUUAGAUAAUUUUCACAUUUAAUCUAAUUUCGAAUUUCAUGAAAAAUACAAAAAAAAAGUCUUAGAAUAAAUUGGUUUUAUUCUCUAGGAUAAAUUGCAUUCUCUUUAAGGAAAAAAGAAGAAAAAUAUCAUGUGCAUGCCAUAUAAGAUUAGACUCAUGAGAUGCAUACCAUUUAGUGAUUGUUGCUAGUCCAUUUAAUUAGAAAUUGCAUAUCAUUAGAAUUAGGUCAUUUAGUUAUAUUGCAUUGCAUAUUAUAUGAUUUUCAUUAAAUAAGUGAAAAUAAAGAAAUUGCGUAUUGAUUAGAAAUUAUAUUUAAAACCGUCGAUGUGAAUUUUGAUAUAACAUUGUAGAUGCUUUCGUUGCUAUGAAAUGACUAUUACAAUUUAUUCAUUAUUUAUCUGGGUGUUAAAUUGGUGGUUUGCGCACUCAUAUGAUCACUUCAUAUGUUAAAAAAAUAGAUUUAAAAUCAAUCCAAAUUGCAUGUAAAAACAUUUUUGAAAAUAAAAAGAAGUGGUACCGAAAGGGUAUUAGAGAAUCUAGCAUAAUUAAGUCUCUGAACUCAUAAAUCUCUAAUUCGUAGGAGUGAAGUAAAUCUCCCGUUACUUUAUUUGAAGAUUAAUGGCGACUCCUAACUGAAAUAUCGUUUGUAUGUUAAGAACUUAAACCCAAGUUGCAAAUUGGUAUGGCUUGGGAGAGCUUGAGUUAGGUCUAGGCUUAACAAUUCAUUAGCCAAACCUUAGGUGAUACACACCUGAAAAUUUGGUCGCGACAAAUGGUAACAGCCACCACACAGCAAAGAAGAGCCAAACAACGGCCACCACUAGCAACCAAAGCAAAAAACAAAAGGCAACCGAGGGAUCAAACAGACGCAGCCAGAUCACCCCAAGCACCAAACCAAAAAGGGAAAGGCACAGUUCAAGCGUCCCAGUUGAGAGAAGCCGUGACCGACACGAACCAGGGGAGGAGGAAUCUUCAGUGAAACAGCCAACCCCAAGGACCUCGGCGGUAGCUCAGCACAAGAAUGUCCACCCUAGAAGGGUAUCCAGUUAGAAGGAGAUGGAUGAUGGAACAACCAUUCUCAAGGAUCGAACUCGCCGCUGAAAUAGCAGCUACAUGGAAAUCAGCUUCGUAGAUUUGAUCAAGAAUCACCUAAAGAGAAAACAAUCGGAUCAAUGCCCCAGGCACGCUGGAGUAUCCUGUUCCUCGCGGUACUAUCGACAUUUCUGAAAGUUAGAGCCUUAUCCCGGACAACCCUAAGGAGAUGGUUCUUCAGGGCCGGGAUCGUAGGAGUUAGCUCUCUAAACAAAAUAUCAUUCCUGUUCUUUCAUAUAAUGUGACAGAGGGCUCCAAGGGGUUCAUCCUGAAUUUAUAUACAGGAAUCACAGAUAAAGUUGUUCCUGGACUUUAUGCGGAGACAUUUGAUUCUUGACAUAUUGUGAAAUAUGACAAGUACUUGGAAUACUUCUUUUAUUUGCUCUCUUCUGUGAGAGAUUCAGGAAAUCUACCUCCGUUAACUCAAUACCUUGUGACUUUUUUGUUGCAUUGUGAUGCAUGAUAAUUGAGGGAUCUAGACACAUAAAAAGCUAAUGCCAUGCAUAAUUUUCUGGAUCUUAACAUGUAAGAUCUUUCGUCCAAAAAAAAAAAAAAACAUGUAAGAUCUUGAUUUUGUUGUUUUGUCAUGUGAAUAUGCAUAGAUCGGAGAGCUAAAGAAGCUCGUGGAAGAGGGUAAGAUAAAGUACAUCGGUUUAUCCGAGGCCUCUGCCUCAACAAUCAGAAGAGCACAUGCUGUUCAUCCCAUCACAGCGGUGCAAUUGGAGUGGUCGCUUUGGUCAAGAGAUGUGGAGGCAGAGAUCGUUCCAACGUGCAGGUAGGAUAUCACUCUGUUAAUUGUUUAUGCAGCAACAACAGCUUCCUUCUGACUCUGCUUUUCCUUUAAAAUGUUGACUAGGGAGCUUGGCAUUGGAAUUGUUGCCUACAGUCCUUUAGGACGAGGAUUCUUUUCUGUUGGCUCCAAGUUGGUGGAGAAUAUCUCUAAGGAUGACUUCAGACAGGUCUGUUCCUGCUUGUCAACAUAAUUAGAUGCCAGUAUCGGGCUUUGGCCCUCCGUCCUUUUUCAUUCUCAUCUUUCUUCACAAGAUAAACUAUAUCUUGACACAACCAUUUCUUGAGUAAGGACUCCUAGCACCCUUCUUAUGAGAGUUUUGGCUCAAGUUCCCAUCUGACAUAAAGCCAAUUGUGUAUUACUCCCCGCCAUUAGCGUUUGACUAGCGAUAGUGCUGGGCAAGUGAAGUAGCUAUUUUUUUUUUUUUGUAGCUAAAAGAGCUUUGCGUCUGAUAACGUUCUUCUACACAUCAUCUACAUUUCUGAUUUUUAUUUUAUGUGUGACUCAGGAAAAUGAUAAUUGCUCAUAUGCUCUCUGCUGAGACAUUGCUCUAUGUUAUGCAGUAUCUACCAAGGUUCCGGCCAGAGAACUUGGCUCACAACACGAAGUUAUUUGACCGAGUGAAUGGAAUUGCACAAAGAAAGGGAUGCACCACAUCGCAGUUAGCCCUCGCCUGGGUACACCACCAGGGUGAUGAUGUUUGCCUGAUUCCCGGCACGACCAAGAUCGAGAAUUUCAACUAGAACAUUGGAGCUCUGUCAGUGAAGCUUACACCGGAAGAGAUGGCCGAGCUUGAAUCGAUUGCUUCUGCAGACAGUGUCAAGGGUGGCAGGUACGAUGGAAGCAUGUCUACAUGGGAAAACUCCGACACUCCACCCCUUUCUUAAUAAAAUUAUGUGUUUUUCUAGUAAGGGAUGUUGCGAAAACUUUAUUGUCUUUUGCAUGCGUAAUUAUAACUAUGAGUGUAACUAUGCGUAAUUACAACAUGUGGCGUCACACAAUCCUCAGCACUUGAAUUGGGGUCUAUCAAGGUAGUGCUUGAGUCUAUGAUGCUCAAGCUCUAUUCAAUAGCACUUAGGCUCGGGUCCGCAAAGAUUGUGCAUCAGUCCUCAAUGCUUGAGGUCGGCUCGUUAGUUAAUAAAACGUUUGUUCUUAUAAAAAUAAUUAUUUUUAAAAAAUCUAUUUUUUUAUAUUAUUUGUUUUCUUUCUUUUUAUUUUCCUUCUUCUCGGCUAGUUGCCAACCAUGGCGCCGAUUGCGCCUGAUAACAAGCACCGGAUGAGCUAGCCCAAGGCCAAGAAGACUUGAGAUUGCUGAUUUGGCAAGCUUGAAGCUGGUCAAGUGCAAGCUCGAGUUUCGCCCCGUGGCUAGUCGCCAACUACCACCGUGGCUAGCGUUCGGUCGAGGAAGAAGAAAAAGAAAAAUAAGUAAAAAUCUGAAUAUUUUGUAAUCUUCUAUAGGGAAAUCAAAUAAGAUUUUUCAUAUUAAACGAUAAAAAAUAUUUUCUAGUUUAUUUUUAAGACUUAACCAAAUAUUGAAAAUGACUUUUUGUAAAAUAUUAUUCAAAUAUGUCAUAUUUUUUGCGAAACAAACGGUACAUAAAUUUAAAUUUGAUAAUUGUCCUUGUUAAUUUGGUACACAUUAUCUGUCUCUUUGUUUUGUUGCUGAACUGAUGCUAAUCUCUAGAUGAAGCUUGACUAGUUUCAAUAGGCGGCUUGACUUUUGCGCUUCCUUUUUUUUAAAACCCAAAACACUCAAAACUUUCGUGAUACACGACUUUCGACAUGCAGAGUUACAAUCACUUCAAAUAAUUUAUCUGAAAAUUGUAUAGUGGGCCAUCCGAGAAAGGUGAGGGCAACUUGUCCCCCUAGAAAUUGUCAUGACGUGGAACUCUUGACAUGAAUUGAAGUGACUUUUGUUAAGAGUUAACUAGUCAAGAUCGGGCCACAUCUGUCCAUUCAUGUCCGCCACAUCCGGCCCCUCCAAUCGGACUCCCCGGCGAAAAGAUUCACGGACACGUGGCUGGAUCUAGAAAGUCACGGGUUUGACUUGUCUUUUGUGUCACUAUCAAGAAUGUGCAUGGUCCGGACGGGCGAUUCCCGACCUAGAAUCGGGAACUGCUUGCUAAGGACCGAUUCCAAAACAUUGAAACGGAGAUCCACCAGUUAGUUGAAUGAAUCCACUUGGGAACCAGAUCGCUGAUUCAGUCCGAUUUCUAGGUGGAUCUAUGGAACCGAUCUUGACGCUAAAUAAUUUUAUUUUCAAUAUAGAACGACUACGUGAUUUCCAUAACAACAGCUGGAGAGGUUGUAGAAGGAUAUCAUGGUAGGCACUUACGAUAAUCGUGAGGAAAUGAUAGCAAUUUUGGUUAAACUUGUUUUCUAUCAUGGCUAUCAUGGGUCGAAUAAAAUUUUGCAAGCAAAUUUCGUGUCCUAGGCAUUUUUUUUCUCUUAGGUGUGAUGCUUUAAAAACCCUCUAUGUGAUGCUUAGGAACCUUUGUUUGUGAUGAAGCCUAAAGAUUUAUUCCUUGUUGUGGACUUGUUGUCCUACAUCAAAAUCUCUCAGUCAAACUUUUUUGCUUUGUUUUGGUAAGUCUGUAUAAGGUAUAUUACAGAAGUUGCAUUACGAGAUAUUUCUUCCUUAUUGUCUUUUUAGUUUAACUAAGGCCAAAUUGUUUUGGCAUUUUUCCAAGCAUUUCAUUAUGGAAUGAUGAUAAGAAGCGAUCUUGACUUAAUGCUUUUAGUUAUUUGAUUUGGAUUUAUUAAUUAGUAAUUUCAUUUUUUAAUAUUAAAAAUUAAUAUAUUAUUUUAAUAUAAUCGGUUCGGUCUAGGUGGGCGGGUAGAUAGAUCCGCUCAUGGAACUGGGAACCAGACUGGUACUCACCGGUUCCCAUAAAUUGGAAUCGAGAACCGGACCGGUUCCCUUAAAAACUACCGGUUCUGGGCGGUCCAAGCGGGUUUCGGUUAUUUUGCACAAAGAAUUAAAAAUUCAAUUUUUUUUAAAAAUAUUUUAAAAAGAAUUAUAAAAAUUUUCAUUAAAUUUGUAUUGCAUAAAAAUGUUUUAACAAUACUUUUUUUUAAAUAAAAAAAUCAUAAAAACGAGCUUUUUAAGGGUUAAUUAUUUUUUUUAUGUUAUUGUUUUUAGUUAUUCAAAGGUAUGUUUACUUCAAAUAAGGGAAGCAUGUGCAUAGUUUAAUUCUUUAUAAAUAUUUAAAUGUUUUUUUAAACUUUUCUUAUUUUAUUUUAUUUUCUAUUUUUAAUUUAAUUUGAAGAUUUAAUCUAAUUAGCAUAUAAUAGAAGUGGAUUUUCCUAAAAUAUUAAGAGGUUUUAGCAAUACGAGUUGGAUCGGGUAUGUGUCGGGUAUAUAUGAAUAUGGAUCAGAAUAAGUUAAAUAGAUCAAAUAUGAGUUCAUUCGUUUUCGACCGGACUCAAAUCCGGCUUGAUCCGGUUUCGACCCAACCCAAAUCCGACUCGAUCCACUCAUUUAACGGGUCUAGAUUGAAUUGACGUAAGCACGUGCGUCUUCGUAGCUACUGCCGCUCCCCUCCUAUAAAUCUCGGCUCGCCCGACAUCUUAGCCAUCGUCACGGUGCAGUGCAGGGAACGAGCGAGCUCGAGCUAGACGACGGCAAUGGCAGCGUCGACGACGACGGUGGGGAGGAUCAAGCUGGGGUCGCAGGGCAUGGAGGUGUCGGCGCAGGGGCUGGGCUGCAUGGGCAUGUCCAUCGGCUACGGCCCUCCCAAGCCCGACCCCGACAUGAUCGCCCUCAUCCACCACGCCGUCGGCUCCGGCGUCACCUUCCUCGACACCUCCGACAUCUACGGCCCCCACACCAACGAAAUCCUCCUCGGAAAGGUCGGUUCUCUCAGUCUCUCUUUUGCCUCCGCAUGAAUCAUACGUGCUUAUAGUGUUACGGAAUUCAGCUUCAUCGAGCAGGAUGCUCCGAUCCUGCGCCUUGGUUUUCUGAUUUCGGGGUUGAUUUUGAGCAGGCACUGAAGGGAGGGGUGAGGCAGAAGGUGGAAUUGGCGACCAAGUUCGGAGUCAGCUUCGCGGACGGGAAGAGGGAGAUCCGGGGCGAUCCGGCGUACGUGAGGGCUGCUUGCGAGGCCAGCUUGAGGCGGCUCCACAUCGAUUGCAUUGACCUCUACUACCAACAUCGCAUCGACACUCGCGUCCCCAUCGAAGUCACUGUAUGGAUCCCACAUCAAACCUUUACCUCUCUCGGGACUUUCUCCGAGUGAUCAGUUGCUAAAUUAGAAUGGUGUUGAUGAUGCAUCAUCAUCAAGAUAUCGUUAAAUGUGACUUGAGUUCAGAUGAUAGCAGAGUUCAAGAUGUGGCACGGUGUUGUUCAAGGGAUUGCGGAAUUUAGUAGUUUAUAUGGCUUGAGUUUUUGUUUUAUGGGUCAACAAGCAUGAAAAUUAUUCGAAAUCCAGGGUUCACCCUGAUUUAUAUCUGAGAAUCACAUUUGAAGUUGUUCCUGGACUUUCUGCGCAGACAUUUGGUUCUUGACUUGUCAUUGUGAAAUAUGACAAGUACUUGGAAUACUUCUUUAAUUUGCCUUCUUCUGUGAUAGAUUAGAGAGAUCCAUUUCCGUUAACGAUACCUUGCCAUUUUCUUGUUGCAUUGAGAUGCAUAAAGAUUGACUAUUUUUUGCUAGGAGCUACCUAAUCAAAUUGUAAUGUUUGAGAAGUCAGGGAACACAAACUAUUCAGGCAUCAGGACACAAGAAAAACUAAUGAUGUUCAAUAACUUCUGGAUCUUAACACGUAAGAUUUUGACGAUUGUUGUUUUGUCAUGUGAAUAUGCACAGGUUGGAGAGCUAAAGAAGCUCGUUGAAGAGGGUAAGAUAAAGUACAUCGGUUUAUCCGAGGCCUCUGCAUCAACAAUCAGAAGAGCACAUGCUGUUCAUCCCAUCACAGCAGUGCAAUUGGAGUGGUCGCUUUGGUCAAGAGAUGUGGAGGCAGAGAUCAUUCCCACGUGCAGGUAGGAUAUCACUGUUUAUUUGUUUAUGCAGUAACAACAUCUUUCUUCUGACUCUGCUCUUCCUUAAAAUGUUGACUAGGGAGCUUGGCAUUGGAAUUGUUGCCUACAGUCCUCUUGGACGAGGAUUCUUUUCUGUUGGCUCCAAGUUGGUGGAGAAUCUCUCUAAGGAUGACUUCAGACAGGUCUGUUUCUGCUGGUUAACAUAAUUAGAUGCUCACAGUUACUGUCAUUCCCAUUGAAGUGCUGGAAACCUGUUCUUAUUCUAUAAAGAAAAAGUUUGUGACACGAAUGCUUCAUAUUCUUAUUCGAUCCAGCACUUGCCAGUCAUCCCACCUCUCGUGAUUCUAGAUAAAUUUAAAAAUCACAAGUAAUGGCUUUAAUGAGCCUGAAAGGGGCAGUUUUCUGGAUUCUCGUGCUUUUGGGAAUGAACAAAUAUAGGUUUAUUUGUAAGUUGCUCCGUUUCCCAGCUUUCCCACCAUUUGCUUAUCACUAUCCUUUCCCCACUUUCCACCCGCCCUUUUUCUCUCAUAUCUCUUCACAAGAUUAGCAAUAUUUGCUCAAAAUAACCGAGACCAGUAUCGGGCCUUGGCCUCCGUCCUUUUUGUUUCUCAUCUUUCUUCACAAGAUAAAUUAUAUCUUGACACAACCAUUUCUUGAGCGAGGACUCCCUAACACCCUUCUUAUGAGAGUGUUGGGAUCAAGUUCCCAUCUGACAUAAAGCCAAUUGUGUAUUACUCCUGGCCAUUAGUGUUUGAGUAGCGAUAGUGCUGGGCAAGUGAAGUAGCUAUUUUUCUUUGUAGCUAAAUGAGCUUUGCGUCUGAUAACAUUCUUCU
rnacentral:lncRNA from 1 species